GUCACCAUGGUCAACGUGGCCGAGCCCUCGCCGUUCCUGUCGGCGAUCCGGUGGGCUCCGGCGACGUUCCCGCUCGCCGUGCUGGCC
rnacentral:tRNA from 1 species